CAAGCUGCCAUAAUGGCUAUAGCAGAAGUGUUCAUAUCACAGCCAUGUCCGAUUCCAGUGAAUCUGCUAAAUUCUGCU
rnacentral:ribozyme from 1 species